rnacentral:rRNA from 13 species
UGCGAGCUGCCUAUGAACAGGUGACAAAGAAGUUGAGUUGUUUGAAAUACCGAACUCGUGUAUGUUGCAGAACACUGAGAUGAUUUGGGGGUAGGAGUGAGAGGCUUAUCAAAAUCGCAGAUGGCACAUUGUUUUGUUUGUGAAAUCGAUAGAAGUGGACCCACCGAUA